GAUGAAGAACGUAGCGAAAUGCGAUAAGUAAUGCGAAUUGCAGAAUUUCCGUGAGUCAUCGAAUCUUUGAACGCACAUUGCGCCCACUGGUAUUCCGGUGGGCAUGCCUGUUCGAGCGUCAUUAUCCUCCCUCAAACCUCUGUGUUUGGUGUUGGGCCGCGUUGGUGUCAAAGCCAACUGGUCUCAAAGACAAUGACGGCGUCCGUGGGACCCUCUUCGCAACGAGCAUCUUCGGAAGCACGCGUCGAGUCUAAAGGACCUUCCGGGCCGGUCUACCCUUUAUCUUUCUAAGGUUGACCUCGGAUCAGGUAGGAAUACCCGCUGAACUUAAGCAUAUCAAUAAGCGGAGGA
rnacentral:misc_RNA from 1 species